rnacentral:rRNA from 1 species
UACGUAGGCAGCAAGCGUUGUUCGGAGUUACUGGGCGUAAAGAGUGCGUAGGCGGUUUCGUAAGUUUGGUGUGAAAUCUCCCGGCUUAACUGGGAGGGUGCGCCGAAAACUGCGGGGCUGGAGUAUGGGAGAGGUAAGCGGAAUUCCUGGUGUAGCGGUGAAAUGCGUAGAUAUCUGGAGGAACACCGGUGGCGAAGGCGGCAUCCUGGACCAACACUGACGCUGAGGAGCGAAAGCCAGGGGAGCAAACGGG